rnacentral:rRNA from 1 species
AUCUAUGGCCAUGCCACCCUGAACGUGCCAGGUCUCGUCUAAUCUCAGAAGCUAAGUAGGGAUCUGCCAGAUCUCGUCUGAUCUCGGAAGCUAAGUAGGGAUUGGGCCUGGUUAGUACUGGAUGGGAGACCGCUUAGGAAUACCAGGUGCUGUAGGCA